AUGAUUGCCGUGGUGGAUGACAGCCAAGGCCCACCAACCAGCGCGGAUGGAAAGGAGAUAAGGCCAGCUGACAUGGAAAGCAAGCCGGGUGGAGAAGACGACCUGGCCCUACGUGAGUACUACGGGCAGCUGUGGGGACCUCUCAACCCUGAUCCUCCUCCCCUCCUUGUUUGGAUCAGGAGAGAUUUAACCCUAGCCCGCUCGUUCGCCGCCGCCGACUGCCACCCAAUAUCUGGUGACGAUCCCACCACCCUCCCCACUCCCACCAUCCUUAAAGGUUUGGAUCCAAAGCUACGCGAGGAAAUCAAUCAGGAUCAUGGCGGAAGCGCAGGGGUGAGGGCGUGGCCGCGGGAGGGGUGGAAACCCUAG
rnacentral:rRNA from 1 species